AGUCAUAUCAUGUUGAAAUACCGGUUGUCGUAUGAUCACCAAAGUUAAGCAACAUCAAGCCUAGUCAGUACCUUGAUGGGUGACCACUUUGGAAUACCAGGUGCUGUAA